GACGAACGCUGGCGGCGUGCCUAAUACAUGCAAGUAGAACGCUGAAGGAGGAGCUUGCUUCUCCGGAUGAGUUGCGAACGGGUGAGUAACGCGUAGGUAACCUGCCUGGUAGCGGGGGAUAACUAUUGGAAACGAUAGCUAAUACCGCAUAACAGUAGAUGUUGCAUGACAUUUGCUUAAAAGGUGCAAUUGCAUCACUACCAGAUGGACCUGCGUUGUAUUAGCUAGUUGGUGAGGUAACGGCUCACCAAGGCGACGAUACAUAGCCGACCUGAGAGGGUGAUCGGCCACACUGGGACUGAGACACGGCCCAGACUCCUACAGGAGGCAGCAGUAGGGAAUCUUCGGCAAUGGAUGGAAGUCUGACCGAGCAACGCCGCGUGAGUGAAGAAGGGUUUCGGAUCGUAAAGCUCUGUUGUAAGAGAAGAACGAGUGUGAGAGUGGAAAGUUCACACUGUGACGGUAGCUUACCAGAAAGGGACGGCUAACUACGUG
rnacentral:rRNA from 1 species